rnacentral:lncRNA from 1 species
AGGGGAAGAAUGCAAUGAUAAUAUGCAACUAAAGCUACCUAAAUGCAACACACAAUGACGAACACACAAAACAGAACAUCACACUCACAACACAAGACAAAACACAACACAUACUAACAGAACAAAAGACCUAAAACCGAACCGUUGGUCCCCGGCAACGGCGCCAAAAUUUGAUGGGUGUCGCCGCCCAAACAAAUUUGAUUGCAUAUUAGAAAUGCAGUAUAACUAGGAAGUGACUCCUAGGUCGUCUCUCAAGGACCAAAUGCGGUUCGAGACUUAGGUCUAACAUAUAGUGGGAGGGGGGUUUUGAAGGUGUUUGAAACGAGAAUUAAAUUAAAUUAAAAUGCAUGAAAAUUAGACACAACCGAACAUAAUUGAAAGCAUUAAAGUGCAUUAAAACAUUAAACUGAAUGGGCAAGAAAUGAAGACAAGUCGAACGGCACAAUCAGAGACUAAACGGUCUAAACGCAACAAAACCAGAAAUUGCAGAAUUCAUCCGAAUUUGAAAACAAAACGCUAAAACAGUAAACUGAACAUUGCAAUAUAUAAAUAUCCAAACACAAUUAAGAAUCUUAAACUAAAAUGCUUAAACUAAAAAUGAAAUGCAUAAUGCAAUUGACAAAUAAACAAAUGCAUAAAUUUGAAAUAAAGUUACUAAAAUAAAAAAUAAAAUAAAAAUAAAAAUAAAAGUAAAAUAAAAUAAAAAAAAUAAAAUAAGAAUAGAAAUAAAAUAAAAAAAAAUGAAAAGCCAAAUGAUAAAAAAAAUUGAAACACGUUAAAUACAAUUAAAAAAAAAAACAAAAAGAAAAACCGAGGACGUGACCCUCUUACCUAGCAUUCCAUUCUCAAAGUAAAAGCAAAGAAAAUGUGUUACUUCAUUCUAGCUAGCCAUAACCGUGUGCUUCCUUAUAGCAAUUAAAUGAAAUAUAAUAAAGCGUAACAGUAAAGCUAAGAUAAACAAGUAGCUACCUUAAGGCUGAAUGUAAUCUAAUAUAUAGAAUAUAAAAUCAUUCUCAGUCUAUGCGUGAAGAUAAAAUCAAUUAGAAAAGCUCUUAAAAAAAAAUCACAAAAUGUGCAUCGCUCCUAAAUGAAAAUAGCUCCUCUUCUCAGCCGUAACCUUCCAUGCUUCUAAAGAAAACAAUUCUCUACUGUGUGGUGGCUGUGUUGUCCCUGCAACUUCAAAUGCCGAGAAUGAAUAUUCUCCCGAUGAGUGACGGCUGCUGCCUUUUCCUAGGGCCAAGUCACUAAAAAUAGGGUGGGGUCCACCCAAUAACCCUAGGGUAUGACAUGGGUCUCACAAAGUUUUGGGCUUUUACAACUUUACCACUAAAAAGGGCCCAAUGCACAAAAGUUUGAUUAAAAAUAUUGUAUACUACUAAGUUACAAUAUAAUUAAAUUUGAAAUGUCCAAGUGUAGAGUCUUGAAUUUAUUUUGUCACCUCCAAAUGUCCCAAAUUGAGUUUCCAAAAUUCUCCCUGAAAAUAAUAAUGCAAAUAAUUAGCUCAGAAAAUUCAAAUUAAUUAAAAUUAGAAUUUCCAAUCAAAUUAAGCAUAUUUAGGAAAAAUGGGAAAAUACCGGACAAUUAAGCACAAUUCCCUGAUUAAUUCUAGCACAAUAAACUAAGUGAAAUCACUAAAAUAUCGACUCAUCAAAAUUCAUCAUCAACUGAAUAAUUUUUCUACAAGCAUUCAAAGUUUCCACUCAAGUAAGUAUGCAAAUUCAUGUUUAGGGUUUCUAUUUUGGGAUUUGUUGAUGAGCAUGUUUAGGAACAUGAUAAAUUGGGGCUUUUGAUUUCUAUGCAUGAAUUAAUGAAAUAGGGACUGUUUGAACCGAUUGAAUUGCAUGAUUUUGGUCUGGAUUGUUGAAAGUAGCAAAAGAGUGGAGAUUAGGACAGUUUAGGAAAGGUUUUUGAAAAAACCUAGCCGCCACUGCUUAGCGGUAUGUUUUGGCGCCGAGCGGUGGCGCGGCUGGAGACAAACCGCCUGGGCGGUCUUCAUGGACGCUGAGCGGUCUGCUGCAGAUUUGCCUAAAUGAUUGAAGUUUUUGGAUGUUUGGAUGCUGAGGGGUCCUGUUUUCCCUCAAAACUGGAUUAUGUGUGAUUUGAGUUAUAAAAUUGAUGAUGUACUAACCUCUAAUGAUGUUUCUGUGAAUAUUGUUGGAUUUAUUUGAUACAGGAAUGUCUACCUCAAAAAGAGUGAAAACUAUGGGCAACAAAAGGAAGGAGCCAGAGAGACCUACGAGAUUCUAUUCUUCUAGGUUCCUCUCAAGGAAGCAUGAAGAGCAUUAUGCUAUUGUCCAAGAAAGGCGUUUGUUGAUGGAGAGAAAGGCCAUGUAUAUCCCUGAUUUAGCUCCAGAAUUUGGUUUGGAGAUUGAGAGGCGAGGCUGGGAGAGACUAACUACAUAUCCAGCACCAGUCAGUAUUGAGUUGGUGAAGGAGUUCUAUGCCAACGCCUUGCCCCGGGGAGGAAUAUCAGCUGAAAGAUACAUGAACUACGUGAGGGGACAUUUGAUCAGUUAUGAUCCCGACACCAUUAACGCUUUCUUCGGGACUGAGUGGCCAAGAGAGCAGUGCAGUUAUGUUGCUAUACUAGGGGAGGCCAGGGAUUAUGAAGAUAUUGAGAUAGUUAUGUGUAUCCCUAGGAGGCAUUUUCAGAGAAACCCUAAUGGGGCACCGGUUAACAUCCUUAGGGCAGAUUUGGCUCCCCUAGCCAAGUACUGAAUGACAUUUACUCAUGCCAACAUCCAGCUAUGCUCUCAUGUUUCUGACAUCACACUGCAUCAGAUUCUGGUCAUUUGUUGUAUGUUGCGGUAGAUAGACGUGAACGUUGGUAAGAUUAUUACCAGCGAAAUUCUGAGUUGCGCCAACACUGUGAACAACAGGGCACCACUGGGACAUCCGUCCUAAUUACAUACUUGUGCCAGCAGGCAGGAGUGGACACUGCAGUUCCACCCUAUGCGAGGCCGAUGAGAGCUAUUGAUGCCUCCUAUUAUCGUUAGUACUGUGGAGGUGAUGAGCUGGCUGGAGCAGUUCCUAGGAGACGUCCUAGGAGGACAACAGCGCAGCAGGAGGAUGAGCCUGUAGAUGCACCGGCACAACAACCUGAGCCUUUCCAGAUGAGGGACAUGUAUAUGUCCAUGAUGGAGGCAAUGAUGGAGUCCCUUCGUAGAGGGCAGGUGGCCACUGUUGAGAUGAUUGUAGGACUAUAUGAUCAGCCACUAGUGCACAGGUGGACUAUGGACGAGUUCCAUAGUGCGAUGGCUUGGCCUCAAGGGCAGGCACAGGACAGUGGGUCCAGAGAAGCUAGAGCCUCAGGAUGAUAGGAUGACGACCAGGAGGAUGAGGACUUUGAGGAUGCCCAGGAUGAGGAUGAGUAUGACUCAGAUGAGGAUUUACACUGAGGGCAUCUACUGAUGGAUGCCAGCAUUUGGACAGGGAUUUUUCUUUUUCUUUUUCUCUUGUACUUUGAAUUAGUAGUAUAGGUUUUAUUCUUGUGUCUAUGCUUGGCUUGUACACUGAUUCUGAUGAUGGUUCAAUUUUAUUGCAUGAUAAGUUAUUUACUACUGAUGAUUGAUUGAGGAUGAUGAUUGAGAAUGUGUGAAUGUUGAUAUCCAGGUUAAUAUUUCACUAAUUAUGUGAACAGAUGAGUAAGUGAUUAUGAUUGUGAUUGUGAUGCUAAGCAGGAUUCAUGAAUGAGAAGUGAGAAAGCAUUUGUGUGAGGUAUUGAGCUUCAGAGUUUUUAUUGAUGUGUGCAUUGUUCACAGGGAAUCAUGAAUGAUAUUGACUUAAUCUUGAUAUUUGAUUGAAUUGCAUGUGUAUGUCAUAUGAUCAAGGCCAUGCUUGGAAAGCCCUUACUUGGCCAAAUUUUCACCCAAAGAAUUUGAAAUGAUAUACCCUUUUUGAACCUUAGCCUUAAACAAUUUGAAAACCCUUGUUUGAAUUGAAUUACCUUGAGUUAGGUUGAGAAUAAUUGUAUGUGUUGAAAAGGUUCAAGUUUGGGGUUGUAUGGGGAAAAGUGAAAGGCAAAAGAAAAAGAAAAACAUUGAGUUCAAAAGUUAAAAAAGAAAAAUGCAUGAGAAAGAAAAGAAAAAAAGAAAAGAGAAAAAGCAUGCAAAGUGAACUCAAUGUAAAAAGGAAAAAGGGAAAAAGUUAGGAAUGAGUGAGAUUGGUUAAAAGAGAGUGUGCUUGAACUUUGAAUGAUAAUUUAAAACUCUCUUAACUCAAGGAUUUUGUAUUCCAGAAAAACCAAUUUUUCUUGAUAGCCCAGCCACAUUACAAGCCUUAGAAAAGUCCUUGUGAUGACAUUUGCAUGUGAAGAUUUUGAUUGUUUUAGAUGAAUGGCAAUAUUGUUUUAUGUGACAUGUGAACAGUAGAGAGUAGAGUGACCUCCUAAACACUUGAGUGAUUGAGUGAAACACUUGCUUGGUGAGAAUUGUUGAAAUCCAUGUUUAUAUCUAUGCUUAGUUGAUUGAUCAUUCAUGAACAAAACAUCUGUUGGAAAAAGAUUAAUUAUGUGAACUGAAUUGGAUUGAAAGCAUGCAUGCAUCUUUAUAGGAUUCCAUUGAAAUUUGAAUUAUAUAAUAACUUGUCAUGAGAAAAACGAAUUGUGAAAAUUUGAAUUAUUUGAUGAAGAAAGUGGAAAGCUAAGUCUUGUCUUGUUUGCUUGAGGACAAGCAAAGUUCUAAGUUUGGAGUUGUGAUAACGGUCUAAAAACCGUUAUUUUCAUACUUAAACUUGAUAUUAAAACACACCCUUUAUGACUUAAAAUGAGCUUAAAAUCAAGCAAAACACUUAGUUGAGUCUUGUGAGAGUCAAAAGUUGGUUUUAGAGAUAUUAUGCUUGGUUUUACAUUGUUUUGCAGGGUUUUAAGGUGAAUUGAAGAUGGAAGUGAAGUAAAGUGGACUUAGACCCGUGAAAGAAGAGGAAAAAGGCUGAAAAGAUGGGUCAAGUGAAUCGCUGAGCAUUAGAAUGGACCGCUGAGCGUCUAGAGCGAUCAAGGGAAAAUCGCUCAGCGGCAAAACUGAUCGCUGAGCGGUCAAAGCGGCUAGAGGGAAACCGCUGAGCGGUGAACUUAGGCGCCUGGGCGGUUGUCUGUUUUUAUUAGCUAGAUUCUAUAAUUUUUCUGUUAUCUUUUUGGGCUUAUAUAUAGCCCCAGUGCGAAUCAAAACAUAUUCUUUUGGCAGAGAGAAACAUCCAGAGUUAUUCCACACACCUUGGAGGAGGUUCCUUGGAUGCUUAGGCUCCAAUCUACCAAGAUUAGGGUUAUUUCUUCCAUUCUUUCAUCAUAUUUCAUCUAGUUUCACCAUGACUAUGGUGAACUAAACCCUAAGUUGUUGGGGAACAAUGUAAUCUUUUGAAACUCUCAUAUAUCCAAAUUCUUAUUUAUUUUAUAUGCUUGCAUAUGCUUGAUUUAUCAAUUGUUGGGUUCUUCACCUUUACUUAAUGCUUUUAUCGUUUAACUCAUUNGGUAAAUGUUGUUUGUCUUUAUUGAUAAGGGGACGUACAGUAAUGUCAUGAACUGGUGAGUAAUUCCUUGAUUUUGCAAUACCACCUAGGGAUAGGGGUAGGACGAUCAAUUGUAUUUUGCUUNCGCUUAUCAUGCAUUAUUAAUUACUAGGGGAGGCUAGGAAUAGCAAGCCGGUAAUUAGUAAUAGGCUCUUUUCACCAAGGGAUUGGGUUAAGGGUAGACUAAGAAAGUUUGCAUGACAAUUUGAUAAAUAAGCUAAUUAAAUAAGAAGAGUAUAUAUAUGAGGGUGGAUAAGAUGAAAUUGUAAACCCUAACAACUCCAUUCAUCCAGAGUUUCUUAAAGCCAAUUGAAUCAUUGCAUUUGCAUGUUUAUUUUUGUUCUUUGCAUACACACUUCAACUUAAUUCUUUUCUCAAGUCUUACGCGAUUAGUUUACAUAAAAUGUAAGGCCUAAGAGUCCUUUGGGAAACGAUACUUGGACUUACCCAUUUAUAUUACUUGAUAACGAUCUGGUACACUUGCCAGGGACUUAACAAUAUCGAAGACGUACCCGAAUCAAAUUUAAUGCUCAAUUAAGUGCAGUAUAAUACUAGGAAGUGACUCCUAGGUCGUCUCUCAAGGACCAAAUGUGAUUCAGUCAAUAGGUUGAACACUUUGUGGGGGGGGUGUUUAGAUAGUUUUAAUAAUGAAAGUGAACUAAAUUAAAACUAGAAUGCAACACAGAUUUAAAAUGAUUGAUUACUAGCUCAAUUACAUGCUUCCAAUCACAGAUUAACAACAAUUACACGCUACUCUAAC